AUGGUGGAUGCCUUGGCAUCGAGGAGCCGAUGAAGGACGUGGGGAGGCUGCGAUAUGCCUCGGGGAGCUGUCAACCGAGCGUGGAUCCGAGGAUUUCCGAAUGGGGAAACCCAGCACGAGUGAUGUCGUGCUACCCGCAUCUGAAUAUAUAGGGUGCGGGAGGGAACGCGGGGAAGUGAAACAUCUCAGUACCCGUAGGAGGAGAAAACAAUUGUGAUUCCGCAAGUAGUGGCGAGCGAACGCGGAACAGGCUAAACCGCACGCAUGGGUAACCGGGUAGGGGUUGUGUGUGCGGGGUUGUGGGAGGAUAUGUCUCAGCGCUACCCGGCUGAGAGGCAGUCAGAAAGUGUCGUGGUUAGCGGAAGUGGCCUGGGAUGGUCUGCCGUAGACGGU
rnacentral:rRNA from 1 species